CCUACGGGUGGCAGCAGUGGGGAAUAUUGCGCAAUGGGCGAAAGCCUGACGCAGCGACGCCGCGUGAGGGAUGAAGGUCUUCGGAUCGUAAACCUCUGUCAGCAGGGAAGAACGGUCACUGUGCUAAUCAGCAGUGAAUUGACGGCACCUGCAAAGGAAGCACCGGCUAACUACGUGCGAGAAGCCGCGGUAAUACGGAGGGUGCGAGAGUUAAUCGGAAUUACGGGGCGUAAAGCGCUCGUAGGCGGUAUGGCAAGUCAAGGGUGAAAUCCCCGCGCUCAACGUGGGAACUGCCUUUGAAACUGGCAAACUGGAGUGUGGGAGAGGAUAGUGGAAUUCCAGGUGUAGGAGUGAAAUCCGUAGAUAUCUGGAGGAACAUCAGUGGCGAAGGCGACUAUCUGGCACAUAACUGACGCUGAGGAGCGAAAGCGUGGGUAGCAAACAGGAUUAGAUACCCCUGUAGUC
rnacentral:rRNA from 1 species